rnacentral:lncRNA from 1 species
UCAUUUUCUGCAAAUCAAGAUAAGCUUUUGUACCAUUUUAGAAUAUUCAAUACAGUACCGAUGAUAUUAUCAUAAAUAUUUUUUUCAAUGUGCAUUACAUCCAGAUUAUGAUGAAGUAGUAGCAGCUUCCAAUACGGUAGUUUGAAAAAGAUGCUUUGCUUUGUCUAAUUCAGCUUAGCUUCAGUACGCUUCCGCUUGCAAGU